rnacentral:rRNA from 1 species
UGGGGAAUAUUGGACAAUGGGCGAAAGCCUGAUCCAGCCAUGCCGCGUGUGUGAAUCAGGUCUUCGGAUUGUAAAGCACUUUAAGUUGGGAGGAAGGGCAGUAAGCGAAUACCUUGCUGUUUUGACGUUACCGACAGAAUAAGCACCGGCUAACUCUGUGCCAGCAGCCGCGGUAAUACAGAGGGUGCAAGCGUUAAUCGGAAUUACUGGGCGUAAAGCGCGCGUAGGUGGUUCGUUAAGUUGAAUGUGAAAGCCCCGGGCUCAACCUGGGAACUGCAUCCAAAACUGGCGAGCUAGAGUAGGGCAGAGGGUGGUGGAAUUUCCUGUGUAGCGGUGAAAUGCGUAGAUAUAGGAAGGAACACCAGUGGCGAAGGCGACCACCUGGGAUCAUACUGACACUGAGGUGCGAAAGAGUGGGGAGCAAACAGG